UACGGAGGGUGCAAGCGUUAUCCGGAUUCACUGGGUUUAAAGGGUGCGUAGGUGGGCAAGUAAGUCAGUGGUGAAAUCUCCGGGCUUAACCCGGAAACUGCCAUUGAUACUAUUUGUCUUGAAUACUGUGGAGGUCAGCGGAAUAUGUCAUGUAGCGGUGAAAUGCUUAGAUAUGACAUAGAACACCAAUUGCGAUGGCAGCUGGCUACACAAAUAUUGACACUGAGGCACGAAAGCGUGGGGAUCAAACAGG
rnacentral:rRNA from 1 species